rnacentral:rRNA from 1 species
UACGUAGGGUCCAAGCGUUAUCCGGAUUUACUGGGUGUAAAGGGCGAGUAGACGGCAUAUCAAGUCAGCUGUGAAAACUAGGGGCUCAACCCCAAGCGUGCAGUUGAAACUGGUAAGCUAGAGUGCAGAAGAGGUAAGUGGAAUUCCUAGUGUAGCGGAGAAAUGCGUAGAUAUUAGGAGGAACACCAGUGGCGAAGGCGACUUACUGGGCUGUAACUGACGUUGUGGCGCGAAAGUGUGGGGAGCAAAC